UACGAAGGGGGCUAGCGUUGCUCGGAAUCACUGGGCGUAAAGGGUGCGUAGGCGGGUCUUUAAGUCAGGGGUGAAAUCCUGGAGCUCAACUCCAGAACUGCCUUUGAUACUGAGGAUCUUGAGUCCGGGAGAGGUGAGUGGAACUGCGAGUGUAGAGGUGAAAUUCGUAGAUAUUCGCAAGAACACCAGUGGCGAAGGCGGCUCACUGGCCCGAUACUGACGCUGAGGCACGAAAGCGUGGGGAGCGAACAGG
rnacentral:rRNA from 1 species